CUCCUCCUUUCUAAGCAGGCAGAUAUCUGGACAGCACAUCGUCCGGGUCCUCGUCACGCUCCCAGAGUCCUUUGCUUUUGAGUCCUGCUGGCUCUCAGAGCACCUACAACAACCCUCUACUGCGCUCCCUCAGUCACCCAGGAGAGGGUGUGAUCCAGCUGAUCUCUGUAGCCCGCUCCUCUAGUCUGGGCAUCACCAUCGGCGGAGGCUCCAAUAGACCGGACGGCCCUGCGGUCUUCAUCCAGGAGGUUCUGUCUGGGGGAGACUGCCACAGGGAUGGGCGCCUGAGGCCAGGGGAUCAGCUCAUUGCCAUCAACAAGGAGUCCUUGAUAGGAGUGACCCACGAGGAGGCUAAGAGCAUGGUCAACAAGGUCAAAUUCAGUCAAGAGGCGGUGGUGGAGGUUGCUUUCAUCCCUGGUAAAGGUCCGUUCCCCAACAGCACGUCUUUACACAAUGGUGUCCAGCGUGGCGUUGGCAACGGGUACAGCUCCGGGCGCUUAAAAGUCCACGUCAGAUCACCAGAG